rnacentral:rRNA from 1 species
AAUGGAGUAGCUAUCUCUCGGGGUGGUCAAUUGGUUGUUAUAUCUCCACUAAUGAGCGGAGAGGGGUAAAACCUUCAAAGUAAGUUAUGUGGGUCAAGGUAUAAUGAUUAAUUGGAGUUCUAGUUCAUUUACUUUGAGAAAAUUAGAGUGUUUAAAGCAGCCUCUUGGGGCACUGAAUACAUUAGCAUGGGAUAAUAAAAUAGGAUCUUCACAAUAUAUUUUAUUGGUUUAAAUUGCGUAUGAAGAUAAUGAUUAAUAGGGACAGUUGGGGGUAUUCAUAUUGGGUGGUUAGCGGUGAAAUGCUCGGAUCCAUUCAAGAUGAACUAAAGCGAAGGCAUUUACCAAGGAUGUUUUCAUUAAUCAAGAACGAAAGUUAAGGGGAUCGAAGACGAUUAGAUACCGUCGUAGUCUUAACUAUAAACUAUGCCGACCAGGGAU